UACCUGCAGCUCGAGUGGUAACCGCUAUUAUUGGGCCUAAAGCGUCCGUAGCCGGUUUGGUAAAUAUCUGGGUAAAUCGUGAGGCUUAACUUCACGAAUUUCGGAUAGACUACCAGACUUGGGAUCGGGGGAGGUCAGAGGUACUCCAGGGGUAGCGGUGAAAUGUUGUAAUCCUUGGAGGACCACCGGUAGCGAAGGCGUCUGACUAGAACGAGUCCGACGGUGAGGGACGAAGCCCUGGGGCGCAAACCGGAUUAGAUACCCGGGUAGUCCAGGGUGUAAACGAUGUGGGCUUUGUAUUGGAGGUCCCACGUGGGCGUCCAGUGCAGAAGAGAAGUUGUUAAGCCCACCGCCUGGGAAGUACGGUCGCAAGGCUGAAACUUAAAGGAAUUGGCGGGGGAGCACAGCAACGGGAGGAGCGUGCGGUUU
rnacentral:rRNA from 1 species